UUGACUUAGCUGGGUAGUGGGGAACCCUUCCAUGAGGAGUAGAACACUCCUUAUGCAAGAUUCCCUUCUACCUGGCUGGGUUG
rnacentral:pre_miRNA from 1 species